UGCCCACCCACGGGAGCUCAGCUGAGCUCAUCAUUGUAUUUCUCUCUCGUCCUCCUCAUUUCGCUAAAACGACACAAUUUUAGAGGUUUUUCUUCAUCUCCGCUGGAUUAUUUGAUUGGAUGGGAACUCUCACAAGCUGUAGCUUUAGCACUGUGAAUUUGAGACUGUGUUCAGGUCCCUUGGCCAACGAUCACAACAAGGAGAGAAUUCCAGCGUUUCAUCCGAGGAAGAUGAAGAAGAAGGAGACUUCAUACUUCUUGUGUAAAGGAAUUUCAACGAAGGAGGUUUCGUUUACCAAUUUCAUUAGAAUUAGGUGUUUAAGUACUAAUAACGAUAGUCAUAGAGACAUAGAGAAUAAUAAUGAUAAGAAGGACGCGGCCAUUAAAGAUUCCAUUGUCAAAACGGUGCAGCCUGAAGACAACGGCGGAAGAGCAGCCAAUGACUUUGGCUCCGAUGAGCCGCCUGCUUCUGUUCCUUCAACGCCACCAACUAUAUCCCCAGUUGGACAAGCUUACAACAAUUUCCAAGUUGACUCUUUUAAAUUGAUGGAGCUUCUUGGACCUGAGAAGGUUGAUCCCACUGAUGUAAAGCUAAUCAAGGACAAGCUUUUUGGUUAUUCAACAUUCUGGGUAACAAAAGAAGAGCCAUUUGGAGACUUUGGUGAGGGCAUUCUUUUCCUAGGUAAUUUAAGGGGAAAAAGAGAAAAUGUUUUUGCCAAGCUACAGAAUCAGCUGGCUGAGAUCACAGGUGAUAAAUACAACCUUUUUAUGGUGGAGGAACCCAAUUCAGAAGGACCAGAUCCACGUGGUGGGCCACGUGUUAGCUUCGGUUUGCUACGAAAAGAGGUUUCAGAACCUGGGCCAACAACACUUUGGCAAUAUGUGAUUGCUCUUUUGUUGUUCCUUUUAACCAUUGGCUCAUCUGUGGAGUUAGGAAUUGCAUCUCAGGUGACCUAAUUGUUCAUUUUCUACAUCAUGCAUGAAUCCUAGAUGCUUGUACGCAUUCAUAUUUUUAAUGUCAGUAGCAGAUCAAUCGUCUACCUCCAGAGAUGGUGAAGUACUUUACAGAUCCAAAUGCCAUUGAGCCACCAGAUAUGGAGUUACUAUUCCCAUUUGUGGAAUCAGCGUUGCCCUUAGCUUAUGGUGUUUUAGGAAUUUUAUUAUUUCAUGAAGUUGGGCAUUUCCUGGCAGCUUUCCCGAAGAAAAUAAAGCUAAGCAUUCCCUUCUUCAUUCCUAACAUUACUCUUGGCAGCUUUGGAGCAAUCACUCAGUUCAAAUCUAUUCUUCCUGAUCGGAGUACAAAAGUUGACAUUUCACUAGCUGGUCCCUUUGCGGGUGCUGUACUCUCUUUCUCUAUGUUUGCUGUUGGCCUACUGCUCUCAUCAAAUCCAACUGCUGCAGGAGAAUUAGUAAAGGUUCCUAGCAUGCUGUUUCAAGGCUCCUUGCUUCUUGGACUAAUCAGCAGAGCCAUUCUUGGUUAUGCAGCAAUGCAUGCUGCAACAGUUUCUAUUCAUCCUCUAGUGAUUGCAGGCUGGUGUGGCUUAACUACAACAGCAUUUAAUAUGCUUCCUGUGGGGUGCCUUGAUGGUGGAAGAGCUGUACAGGGUGCUUUUGGGAAAAAUGCACUAGUUGGGUUUGGCUUGACAACUUACACUUUACUUGGUUUGGGAGUGCUUGGUGGACCAUUAUCUCUUCCAUGGGGACUGUACGUCUUGAUAUGUCAGAGAGCUCCAGAAAAACCAUGCUUGAAUGACGUGACAGAGGUUGGUACAUGGAGGAAAGCGGCUGUUAUAACAGCUAUUUUCCUAGUUGUGUUGACGCUUCUUCCUGUAGGGGAUGAGCUUGCUGAGGAGCUAGGUAUAGGUCUUGUAACCACGUUUUGAUGUAUAGUACAAAGAAUGAAGGCAAUUUUGACAAUAAUCAAGUGAUAGAAAGAGGGUAUCGCGUUCAAUUUGUAUUUACCUUUUUAAUAUUUAACUUUUUUUUUUUUUUUUACUACAGCUUCACCAUUUUUUUCAUGUAUUCCUUUGAGCCAGAGACACUUACAUUCGGUUUCAAAAUCACCCACGAAGUUUUAUUCAUUGCUCUAAUUUCUGGCUCAAUAUAUUACUAUUCUUUUUAAA
rnacentral:misc_RNA from 1 species